rnacentral:tRNA from 1 species
GCCGGAGUGGCGGAACUGGCAGACGCACCGGACUCAAAAUCCGGCGCCCUUCACUGGGCAUGUGGGUUCGACCCCCACCUCCGGCACCA